AAAUCAUGAUGGGGAUACUGCAAUAGUAGUGCCUUAAGUCUUUCCCAAGCUCAAACAAUGAUUCUCCUUCCGAUUGUUUGAACUUUGUGAUUUGUCUUCUCAAUUU